rnacentral:lncRNA from 1 species
GGCAUUGCCAAGUUAUUAAGCAGAAAUAAAUGGGUUGUAUUUAAUACUCGCCAGUUCCACCAGAAGAAUCAUUAGGUUACAAUAUUAAAAUAAGAAUAAUAGAUCAAUAAAUAAAUUUAUUAAAAAGAAGAAUAAAAAUAAUACAAGAGAAGAGGAUAAGAAAGUAUUAAAAAUUGCUAAUCCUUUAAUCUCUGUAAAUAAAUUCUCUUUCUGUUUUGUGUCAGCAUGGUCUAAAUUUGGUGAUAUUCCAAACAUAAUAGCAACAACAUCUACAUUUUAAUGUGGAUAACACACAUGGAAUGUUUGGAAACCUUUUGCUUUCAUUUAGUUUCUCUUAUUUUCUUCUUUUAUAGACAUAUUUUUCCCUUGCAUUAAGGCUCAGAAUGAAAGCUGUUUUAAUCCAUUACUCUUAGACAUUCCCUUCUUUGUUUAAAAUGAGAACAAGACAAAAUUUCAGUAAAUGUAUUUUCAAAAAUUUAAAAGUUAAAAUCAGAACCUAAAUUUUUUUUAUGCUGUUGCCACAAAAGACCAAAAGCAAAGAAAUUGAUGGCAAUUACUCUUACUUUGCAAUGUGAAAUGCUCAGGCACAUAGGGCACUUGCAAAGGAUAUUUUGUGAUUCUUAGACCAAAAGCCUGUUUUAUAAGUUAAAAUAUGUCAGGCAAUAGUGCCAAAUGGGUAAGAGUAAAUUUGUGUGUGCAUUUUUUAAAUAUUUUAAAAUAUUUUUCCUUUUAUUCUUGUGACAGUCCACUUUGUCUUCUGCAGCAAAUGGUAGUCUCAUUUUCAUUAAAAAGAAUUCCAUUAUUGCACAAAAAGGG